rnacentral:rRNA from 1 species
GACGAACGCUGGCGGCGUGCCUAAUACAUGCAAGUAGAACGCACAGUUUAUACCGUAGCUUGCUCCACCAUAGACUGUGAGUUGCGAACGGGUGAGUAACGCGUAGGUAACCUGCCUGGUAGCGGGGGAUAACUAUUGGAAACGAUAGCUAAUACCGCAUAAUAUUAAUUAUUGCAUGAUAAUUAAUUGAAAGGUGCAAUUGCACCACUACCAGAUGGACCUGCGUUGUAUUAGCUAGUAGGUGAGGUAACGGCGCACCUAGGCGACGAUACAGAGACGACCUGAGAGGGUGAUCGGCCACACUGGGACUGAGACACGGCCCUGACUCCUACGGGAGGCAGCAGUAGUGAAUCUUCGGCAAUGGACGAAAGUCUGACCGAGCAACGCCGCGUGAGUGAAGAAGGUUUUCGGAUCGUAAAGCUCUGUUGUAAGAGAAGAACGGGGGUGAGAGUGGAAAGUUCACACUGUGACGGUAUCUUACCAGAAAGGGACGGCUAACUACGUG